UUCUUCUUCCGGUUACAUCUCCCUUCAACUUGGUCCACAACCCAUGAGCACUCGUCUCAUCGUGCUACGUGUGAACCCCCCGUUCAAUGCCUUGUCUGAUCUGCAACCUCAUCGCAUCGUGCGACAUGGAUGGAACAACUCGUGUCUACAAUUUUCUGAUCUGCUCAAAUCGUCUCUGUUCAUCCUCCUUCCGUGUGCUUCAUCCUUGGUUGUCCACAGGGCCUAUCCCUGUAGCUAAAAGCGUGAUCAGAGCUCACAAAACACUCUCAUCUGACUUCUCUCCCAAUAGAAGUCAAAUACCGAAACCAAGCCUCGCGGAUAAAUCCGGAAUGCGAGAAAACUCAAAAAGGCUUGUUUUGUCAAAUCAGACACUUUUUGAUACGCCACAUUUAUUAAAGCACGAACUUCAGGACUAAAUUGCCAAUUUCUAAAAUUUCAGGGACCAAUCCGUAUUAACAGAAAGUCCAGGGACUGAAAGUGGCCCAAGUUUACUGUUUUGGUCACGUACGGUGACCGAUCACGUCAGGGGGGAGGGGGUCAACUGGCCUGGGUCACCCGACUCACGCGGCUCCGGUCAAUGGCUCAGAUUUGAAUGGUAACGGCUAUGGGUUAACUAGUCCACGGCUGUUUUUGGUAAUUUUGUUUUUUUUAAAUCGCAGAACAUCAUCAUUUCGUUUUCUUUUCCCUUUUCUGCCUUGUGCUGUUCCACCGCCUCAGUAUGAUGUCUGUCUCUCUCUCCUAUUUCUCUCCACGCUGGAGUUCCUCCUCAAGUCUCUUCUUUCCUUAGCGCGGGUGAGUGACGCAUGGCUUGACGUGCCGAACUUUCAGUUGGCGGCGUGAGGCUCGUUUGAAGUCCGUUUUUGACUCCGUUUGGUGCUGGAACCUUCGUCUUGACGGGGGGAGACGAUCUGGUGAUAUGCUCAACGCCAUUUUUGAACACGUCGGAUUUGGUCAAAUGCUGAUAUCCGGCUUCCUUCGGCCGCCGAAUCGCUUCGGUGACUCUCUGGUGACUCGAACUUUUUGGCUCGAUACCAAUUGUUGUGCCCAAGGACUAGUCACCAGUCACAUCGAUCUACCCAUAUCAUCACACCACAAGACACAGAUAUAACGUGGUUAGGUCAUCUGCCUACGUCUCAGAGGAACUCUAAUUCACUAUCUCGGAAAAAUUUACAAUGAGUACAAUAGGGAGGAGCUCAUCUCCACUCCUCUCACAGCACUCUCUCAUCUCUCACCAUCUCUCUGCUCUAGCCCAAAGGGCACAGCCCAAUACGAGAAAUCACUCCACUUAAAUCCAGCCCAAGAUGUUGAAGUCCAUCCCAUUUGUGAAGGCCCAAGCCCAAGGUGGGGAUCCAGCCCAAUUGAAGCUUGAGCCCGGCCCAAUGGGAGUACAACACUAUUGGGCCUAGGCCCAGGCCCAAACUCAAUGGCGAUAUUUGAUGAUUUCUCCUUGUCUGUGAAUGAAGUUCUCAUUUGCGCUGCAGCCAUUUUGAGAAGUCUGCAAUGCUGUUCUUCUUUAGCCUGCUGCAAGUCGCCUCCAUUGUCAAGAUGGAGGCUUCCACCUUCUCUAAUAUAGGCCUGUUUCCAUAGAGCAGAGAAGGAAGUGGUCACAGAGAUGUAAGGGACUGGGGCGUUGAAGCUCUCUGUGAGAGGUGUGAGCGAGAGAUUUAGCUGAAGAUUGAGAGCUCUCCUUUUGGUUGUUCCUCUCUCUCUUAUUUUCUGUAUUUUUCCUUUGUAUAUAGGAGAUAAAUCUGAGAGUAAGAUGAAAAUUUGUAUCUUAGUUUGUAUCUCUUCAUAUAGUAAAAUCUCGCUGCCAACUGAGACGUAAGGCAAUAUUGCCGAACCUCGUAAAUCUGUGUGUUUUUGUUAUUAUGUGGAUGUGUGAUCUGUUGGUGUUGGUGAUUUUAUGUAUGGCUAUCGGUGGUUGAUGUUGGGCACAACUUGGUAGCAGAUCCAGUUCGAGUCCCCUGAGAGUCACCAGAGCGAUUUUCUGCGGCGAAUAGGAAAUCUAUAUCCGAACUCACCACAUCCGACGGUUCAAAAAUGGCGUUUGAGCAUACCACCAGAUUCGUCUCGUCGAGACGAAGCUCCAGCACCAAACGGAGUCAAAAUCGGACUUCAAACGAGCCCUCACGCGCUGCCUGAAGUUUCGGCGCGUCAGAUCCACGCGUCCCAAGCGCGCCAGAGGAAGAAGACGACUUUGGAGGAGGACUCCACAUGCUGGAGAGAGCUAGGAGAGACAGACAUCAUGAGGAGGUGGAAAAAAAAAGGAAAAGGGAAAAGAGAAAAGAAAAAGAAAGAGAAAUGAUAAUGUCUGGGAAUUUAAAAAAAAAAAAAACCACACAAGCAACGUGACCAGUCAACCUAGGCCGUUGACCAGGACCGAGCCCGAAUCGGGUUGACUAAGCCGUUGACCAGCGGUGAUCGCCAACGGUGAACGUUGACCAAAAUAUAAUUGCACUUUCAGUCCCUGAACUUCUGUUAAUUACAUAUUGGUGCCUGA
rnacentral:lncRNA from 1 species